UGCCAGCCGCCGCGGUAAUACGGAGGGGGUUAGCGUUGUUCGGAAUUACUGGGCGUAAAGCGCGCGUAGGCGGACUAUUAAGUCAGGGGUGAAAUCCCACGGCUCAACCGUGGAAUUGCGGGAGAUACUACUCGUCUUGAGUUCGGGAGAGGAGUGUGGAAUUCCCAGUGUAGCGGUGAAAUGCGUAGAUAUUGGGAGGAACACCGGUGGCGAAGGCGGCACUCUGGACCGAUACUGACGCUGAGGCGCGAAAGCUAGGGGAGCAAACGGGAUUAGAUA
rnacentral:rRNA from 1 species